UGACUGCUGACUUCUUACCCAAGUCCCUUGGUAAGCUGUGGACACCAUAGUUUAAGAAGGUUAAGAAGAACUUAAAAUGGAGAGUCCCUUGAAUGAUUCAAAUGUGGAAAAAGAAAACCUGUGAGAAAAGAUAAAGGUAUUGCUAUU
rnacentral:lncRNA from 1 species